rnacentral:rRNA from 1 species
AGAAGCAAUAAUGUUAAUAUGAGUAACAAGAAAAUUUUCUCCUUGCAUGAGUGUAUAUCAGAACGAAUGAUGCACUGGUAGUUAACAAAUACAGACAUAACUAGCUAACUAAAAUCUUAAUACAACUGUUAGUCCAACACAGGCAUGCACCCAGGAAGAUAAAAGAAGUAAAAGGAACUCGGC